rnacentral:rRNA from 1 species
GAUGAACGCUGGCGGUCUGCUUAACACAUGCAAGUCGAACGGAAUCUUCGGAUUUAGUGGCGGACGGGUGAGUAACGCGUGAGAAUCUGCCUUCAGGUUGGGGACAACAGUUGGAAACGACUGCUAAUACCCAAUGUGCCGAGAGGUGAAAGCUUUAGUGCCUGAGGAUGAGCUCGCGUCUGAUUAGCUAGUUGGAGUGGUAAUGGCACACCAAGGCGACGAUCAGUAGCUGGUCUGAGAGGAUGAUCAGCCACACUGGGACUGAGACACGGCCCAGACUCCUACGGGAGGCAGCAGUGGGGAAUUUUCCGCAAUGGGCGCAAGCCUGACGGAGCAAGACCGCGUGAGGGAGGAAGGCUCUUGGGUUGUAAACCUCUUUUAUCAGGGAAGAAGAUCUGACGGUACCUGAUGAAUCAGCAUCGGCUAACUCCGUGCCAGCAGCCGCGGUAAUACGGAGGAUGCAAGCGUUAUCCGGAUUUAUUGGGCGUAAAGCGUCCGCAGGUGGUUUUUCAAGUCUGCUGUUAAAGCGCGAGGCUUAACCUCGUACAGGCAGUGGAAACUGAAUGACUAGAGUAUGGUAGGGGUAGCGGGAAUUCCCAGUGUAGCGGUGAAAUGCGUAGAUAUUGGGAAGAACACCAGCGGCGAAAGCGCGCUACUGGGCCAUUACUGACACUCAUGGACGAAAGCUAGGGGAGCGAAAGGGAUUAGAUACCCCUGUAGUCCUAGCUGUAAACGAUGGAUACUAGGUGUUGCCCG